AAGUGGAAUUGCCGUCGCUUAACGGAUAAAAGCUACCCUGGGGAUAACAGGCUGAUCUCCCCCAAGAGUCCCCAUCGACGGGGAGGUUUGGCACCUCGAUGUCGGCUCAUCGCAUCCUGGGGCUGGAGCAGGUCCCAAGGGUUUGGCUGUUCGCCAAUUAAAGCGGUACGUGAGCUGGGUUCAGAACGUCGCGAGACAGUUCGGUCCCUAUCUGCUGUGAGCGUUGGAUGAUUGAGAGGGUCUGCAUUUAGUACGAGAGGACCGAUGUGGACGAACCUCUGGUGUAUCUGUUAUCCUGCCAAGGGUAAGUGCAGAGUAGCUACGUUCGGAAUGGAUAACCGCUGAAAGCAUCUAAGUGGGAAGCCAUCCUCAAGAUAAAUCAUCCCAGAGGGUUUAACCCUCCUAAAGACUCCUGAGAGACUAUCAGGUUGAUAGGUUGCAGGUCUAAGCAUAGUAAUGUGUUCAGCCGAGCAAUACUAAUAAGUCGUGAGGCUUGACCAUAUU
rnacentral:rRNA from 1 species